rnacentral:rRNA from 1 species
UACGGGGGGAGCAAGCGUUGUUCGGAUUUACUGGGCGUAAAGGGCGCGUAGGCGGCCAGCACAAGUCAGUUGUGAAAUCUCCGGGCUUAACUCGGAAAGGUCAACUGAUACUGUGCGGCUAGAGUGCAGAAGGGGCAACUGGAAUUCUCGGUGUGGCGGUGAAAUGCGUAGAUAUCGAGAGGAACACCUGCGGCGAAGGCGGGUUGCUGGGCUGACACUGACGCUGAUGCGCGAAAGCCAGGGGAGCGAACGGG